GAGAGCAGAGAGCAGGGGUUAUUGCUGACAGGGCCUAUCCAGGGUCCUAUAGAAUCACCCCAGGGUGCAUAUUUCAACUACUACACAACCCUGAGAGAAACAGAGAGAGAUGGAGAGAACAGAGAGAGGUGGAGAGAACAGAAAGAGAAGGAGAGAAACAGGGAGAUAUGGAGAUAAAUUGAGAGAGAUGGAGAGAACAUAAAGAGAUGGAGAGAAACAGAGAGAGAUGGAGAGAAGCAGAGAGAGGUGGAGAGAAACAGAGAGAGAUGGAGAGAAGCAGAGAGAGGUGGAGAGAAACAGAGAGAGGUGGAGAGAAACAGAGAGGCAGAGAGAGAUGGAGAGAAGCAGAGAGAGAUGGAGAGAAACAGAGAGAAGUAGAGAAACAGAGAGAGAUAGAGAUAGAUGGAAGGAAACAGAGAGAGACGG
rnacentral:lncRNA from 1 species